GCAUCAGUAGUGCUACGGGUUAGAGCACGCACUCCCUGUAGAGUGAGAUGUGAGUUCGAGUCUCGCCUGAUGCG